AGUAGGUAUAGUCUGUGAAAGGUCUAGAACAUUUUACAUUAUUAGGGGGGAUAUGAAUAGUCUAGCGAUUAAGAUCGUUAGUGAUGAAACGAUCUAAUGGUUGAGAACGGUUGUGAUGUUUCAAUGUCCUUCCUUUUGUGUCUAUAAAUUCCAUGGUUUGUGGGUUCAAUGCUUUACCCUAUCUGUUUCCCUUUUUUCCAUAGUAUAUCAAUUGAAGAUACUUUUGAGAGGUAAACCAUGUCUUCCUUCUCCUUUGACAUUAGUCUCUUUUCGGUUGAGUCGACGGGUGUUGGCAGGGGUGCUAAACUAUUUUAUGGAUUUAUCGAGUUCAAAUUCUAUUGACUUCAGAAACACAAGCAAGUCGUCUUGGGUUAGUCAUGGGUUAGGCGUUAGGUUAAAUGUGGGGAGAUAGAAUCUUCGCGAGCGAAUCCAGUAUUUGUGGCCAAGGUCGAGGAGACGGGUGAGAACCAUGCCCGUGUAGCAAACUAGCAAUGGAUGGAUGGUUAUGUCCGCGAGUACUUCUCUAAGUACCAGUGGUCAUCCAUGCUUUAGUCAUUUGCUACCAAUGUGAAUAUAGUAGACGAUAAUGUGAUGGACGGUAUCAUUUCCUUGCAUAAUUGUAGGACUUAUGAUAUUUUUUUUCAUAGAGAAGAGGUUUUUCCGAGGAUUUUUUUUUUCCAUCUUUAAUAACAGAUGUACAUGUUCGAUUUCCAUUCGAUGAUUUUACAACGUGGGUGUUAUGAUUUUUAAACGUUGUGCCAACUCAAUUAUAUCUGAAUAGUUAAGCAUCAUCGCAAGUAUUAUUCUCGUCGUUGAGUCUCAGGCCCACCCUAAGUUUUCCUACACUUUUAUAGUACUAGGCCUAAAGACCGUAAGGUGAUUGUCUCUUAUCACCUAGUCAUGGACGUGCCUUUUGAGCCAUUUCACCUCUUCAUAUAAAAAUUUCAUGGGAGGGUUUUUUAUGGUCGUUGUUACGUUGAAAAUAGAAGGAAGCACAACACAAGAAGACAAAGCUAAGGAAAGAACUAACUAAGAUAAGGAUAAAACUAUAAUAUUAUUCUAUGUCCUUUUUCCAACCAUGAAGGUCUAUAAGAGGCAGUUAUACUCAUGUAACAAAAAACAUAAAACAUAACAAAAACAUAUUCUUCCUACACUAAAAUGACAACUCAUUGUUUUUAGAUAUAAUCUCUAAAUCUGAUGGGUUUUACUCUGCUUCUAAUGGGCCUAGGUUGUCUAUCAAUUGCCUCUUCCUCGAAGAAAACCUUGUCCUCAAGGUUGAGACUUGGAAUUGCCAAAGUUGUUGGGAUCUCUUGGGCCGUGAGAGGGAAUGGGGGUUGUGUGGUAUAAUGGGUUGGAUGAGUUACAAUUUGCUGAUUUGGGUUGGGGUUUGAGGUAUUAGUUGGAAUCACUCUUUUGGAUUGGAAUGAAGUGGAAAUGUUGGGCUUUGGUGUAGUGGGCUUGGUACCAUGCGAGUCUAGGACUGUUGGGUCAGCGAAAGAGUUAUGUGUGUGGCUUACAACUGGCUGGGAAUUUGAAAGAGCAUGGUGCGAAGAGUGGUUUACAGCAGGAGCGUCAUUAGAAGUUGGAGUGUCAUGUGUUGCUGCUGGAUGGGACGUUGAAAGGAGUGGUUUUGGUGCGUGGGUUACAACUGGUUGUGAGCUUUGGGAAGUGUAGGGUCACGUGCAAAAGAGGGUGGUGACAGCUUAAGUGGAGCGUGGACCGUAGAUGGUUGCCACGUGUCUGCAGAUGCAGCUUUUAUGGGUGCUUUAGUUGGGUUUGUGUUUAAUGAGUUAGGAGGAAUGUUGGAAGUCUCAGAAAGUGAAGUAUAGUUUGGGAAGAGAGUUGGGAGGUCGUGGGUUGGUACUGGUGGGUUCGAUGGUUCGAGAGGGAAUUGGAAAUGCGACGGUGGAGUUGGGUCGUGAUAAGGUUUUAGAAGGGAGAAGUGGAAGACUGGAUGGAUACGUGAUGGCGGGGGAAGGAAAAGUUCAUAUGCAACUUCACCGAUGCGGCGUUUAAUGGGAUAGGGACCAAAGAAUCUUUGUCCAAGCUUAUUAUGAGUCUUGGACGAGAGUGAUGUUUGGCGGUAAGCUUGCCGUCGGAGAAGUACCCAGUCGUUUUCCCUGAAAUUGUAAUCAAGUAUUGAUCUGUUUGUUGAUUCUGUUGAUCAAGAGUGAUCAAGGACUUUGAAGAAUCCAAAUCCAAGUGUUUGAUGCAAGGCUGAAGUUGCUGUUGUAUUUGGGGUGGGAUCUGGGUAGUUUAAAAGUGUAAUCCACUCUUUGUUGAAUCUAAAGCUAAUGUGUUUUAAAACCUUUUUGAAUUUAAGCGUUUUUCAAACUAAGUGAAAAACAACCUGUUGUUUUGUCGAAACAACCGAUUGUUUUACUCUUAGGUGUUUUUGAAAAGGUUGAAAACUGUUUUGGUUGGUCGACUUGUUGUCAAACCAAACCAAUCGGUUGUUUCGUGGUUUCAACCGAUUGUUUCUUUGAAAAUCCUAACAAAAUUUUGUUUUGGUGGUUGAAUGUGCUUUAAAUGAUUUCCAACUGAAUACGCUCCUUCAUUAAAUGCUUUGACCAAUCUUUGAAAAGUAUAAAAGGUUUGUUUAUGUUUUAAAACAAACAAGUGAAACAGAUUUGAGUUUUUCAGUUGUGAGAAAGAUUGCUUUCAAGUUUUGAACAUUCACAUCAAGCUUUGGGUUUUCUCAAGAAAGAGUGGAAUAAGAUUGCAUCUGUAUUGAUUUCAGAUUGUUCUGUAAACAAGUGUAAUUCUUUCUGAAUCUUCUGUAUUUUCUGGUGUUGUUGCCAAUGAGUGUUGUGUGUUCUUGAGGUGGUCAAGAUCAAUACUCUUGGUGUGUGUUGUGCCAAAGUGAGUGUGUUUCUUGAAGGGUUCAAGGUCACUACUUUUGUGGUUUGUGAGUAAUCUGUUUUGAUUGCUUAGUGGAUUACCCAGUGACUUCUGGG
rnacentral:lncRNA from 1 species